rnacentral:lncRNA from 1 species
UACCUCCCCGUUGGUUUCGAUAAACGUUGUGUUUUUCUCAUUCGUCCGCGAACGUCUGAUUGUGUACCCUAUUCCCAUUCAUUCAUUAAUGUCUGGUUGAUUUCCCAACCCGAAUUCCCAGUAGACGUCCUAUUCGGUUUCCGGUUGUGGUGCCUUUCCCUCGUGAAGUGGCUUUCUCCUUCUCCCUUUCGUCCUAUGACGUCUGGCUGAGUUUUCU